rnacentral:snRNA from 1 species
GCUUGCUUUAGCAUAUACUAAAAUUCUAACUCUACAGAGAAGGUUAGCAUGGCCCCUGUGCAAGGAUGACACACAAAUUCAUGAAGCAGUCCAUAUUUCU